GCCUCUAGGAACUGCUUACGUGCCCGCAUCUUCUGACAUGCGCCCCUUGACCCUCUAGAGUUUGGAAAGUGUUUCCGUCUUCUCUUUACUGAGUUUCAUGUUCCCGGGUUCCUGGCUUCCCCGUGGAACCAGCCUUCCUUUCUGACGACAUGGGGCCUUGCUUCCUGAGAAUGACCGAAGCAGAACCCCAGCUCUGGUUUCCUCUGCUUCUUCAGCACCCACAGGACACCAGAAGCGCGUCUAAAGCACAGCCCCGUGGGAUUCAGACAAGGAGGGCCCCAAGCCACCAGCCUUCCCUACAACCUUGGAUGCAGAGAGGAAGGACUGUGGCCAAAUCCGGGCUCCUGGCUUCUAAUGUUGCUAGGUGUUCUCCAAACAAGACAGUGAACUGUGGUCAAAAGACCUCUGGAGCCCCAGAGGAUCAAUCCCUGGUGCAAGUAUCUGAGACUCAGUUUUCUCAUCUGUAAAAUGGGAACAGAAGCACAUACCUUUCUACUCAAGGACUGAUUCUGUGGAGAGCGAUUAUGAAAAUGAACUAAACUAGAGGGUAACUCGUAGCACUGUGGCCACAUCGGUGACAUGUCCAAGUAUGUGACACUUGUAGCAUCUGUUACUGCAAUAAAGCCAAACAGUGCAUAUCAAUUCACCUUGGGCAUUCACUCUGGUUUCUGAUCACUCAAUCUUUUUCUCUCUCUCCUCCUCAGUAUAUAAUACAAAAUAACUCACUUGCCCAAGAAAGGGUUUCUUGGGAAGACUCAUGCGGCUGCCUCACUAAGCGGUCUGUAUUCAAUCUCCAAUCUUGAGUUGCUGGGGGGGGGGGGGGGCAAAAAAAAAAAAGGGCGUCCCACUGCUGAGGAGUGUUCAGGCUUUGAGAGACAUCAACGGCGUUUAAAGAAGCCUUAUAACUGACAUCCAUGUGUGUCCACCCUCGACUUAAAUUGCUUUUGGUUCAACCGCUGCCACGAAUUGCCUUGAUGCCGUAUCAUCCAGAAUGACACAAAACACAGAGAACGGAGCAAGUUGCUGGCGAGCAUAAGGAGGUAAAGGAGUCCCUGCCUCUCUCACUUCUCCAAGGGCUGGAAGAGACGAAAAUGCAACUCGCGUUGAAAGGCAAUCUCCACGAACCGUGAUAAGAGCAAGUGACAUUUUUACGCAGCUCAAGCCUUCCGGUUCAGCCUAGCAGUUCUAAUAAAAGCCAUCCGCACUCGGCUCACCAUUUUUUGAAGUUUCCACGUGCUCUUUUUUCUUCUCCUCCUCCUCCUCCUCCCCACUGUCUCUGCAGCAAAGAACAGCGUGACCCUGGAACGUCUGGUUAAGACAGUCUGGGCUCUGGUUUCCAUUGUGUGGGAUGAACUCGGGGCUUCUAGGUUCUGAGAACCAUCCCCACUCCCCCUUCCCCGUCCAUCCGGCACCUCUACGGCUAACCCCUGACUCCGGGGACAAAGAAACGUUCUUGGCCAAAGCCCGUCGACCGCCUGGCUCCCUAAGUGAAGAAACUCUAGUUUCAUUUCAGUCCCGUGAUUCGGAAUCCAAACCACAGGGGCUUCGGAUGCAGAGGUAAAGAGGACCAUGGGAGUUCUGACCCAAAGUCGUGGGUUCCAGCUUUGUGGGUCACGUGCCAGCUGCCUCAGCUGAGGCGAGGUGUGAGGACGUCCCUGCGUCCCACUUUCUGUCCCAGGCAAACGCUUUCUCGCCGUCCGCCUGGAGGGCUGUCCCAAGUAUUAAAUGAGGCGCUGCAUCUGCAAGGCCCGCGUGCUGGGCAGGGGCUCAUACUACCCAUGCCUGUUCCUUCCAAUGGAUACGCAUGAACGCACGAGGGGACAGAGGUAGCUGAGGAUACCUCGGCAGGAUCCCUUCUUCCUAGAGCCGUGGAUGCUGCCAUCCAAGUGGGUCCAUGGCGCUGUGCCCCUGCGCGUAUUAGCAAAAGGUGAAUUCGGACCCAAAGGAGCUACGGCUGGCCCAAACUGCACAGAAAGCCCGCUGCCCUGGCCAGGGCCACUGGCUGCGGCAAAUGGGAACAGGAGACUGCCCCCCUCCCCCGCAAUGUUUGCCCUCUGCCAGGUGUCCUCACAUAAAGGCCCCUGCCCAGCCUUGCAGGAAGCUCUCCCUGGGUGCUCGGAGCCCGAGGAGAGGGAGCGAGAACCCAGGUGUGACACAAAUGCCUAUUAUCCAGCACUGUUGUUCCUGUAUCUUUACAGAGAAGAGGCCUCGCUCGCCGUAUAGAUCUCUUCAUUUUCAUGUGUGCAUACAAGGUCACUUUCUCAACAAAUCAAUACAACCAUCUGAAUACACAAUUUUCAUGUCACAGUGUAUUUUGGAAUUGAAAUACAGUGAAGGGAACAGGAAGCGCAGGGCUUUGAAGAAGCGGCAGCUUGGGGAGGUGCGUUGUUUCAUAGUGUCCUCUUGUUCUUCUCAAAUCUAUCUGAGGAUGCAACUGAGACCCCUGCCUUCACGGAAAGGCAGAAGUGAAAAACGAAAUACUUUGAAUGAUUAACAUACUUUGGCAAAUCUUUUUUUUUUUUUUUUCCUACUUUAGUUUUUCCUUCUGGUCCAGUUCGCCCACAUCUUCAAGAGGACACACUAGUAAAGGGUGAACUCCCCAAGUGCUGUGUGUUCUUAGGCAAGCUGCUUAACGUCUCUGUUUCUUCUUGGAAAUGCGAUCAUACUACGUGGUCUAGCCAAGUGGACUGACAUAAGGCUUGAAGCCCAUUUGUAUACGCACAUCCUUAAGUGCUCCAACUGUUUGACUUCACGGCAGGUCCACCAUAUCUCCAGCUUUUUCUUCCACAUGAAGCUACUUCACCAAUAUGCUCAUGGACACUUUGUAUUUUAAAGCCAUCUUUCUUGCUGGCCCCCUUACAGAGGAGUCGGCAGUUAUCAAUAGGCAGGACUCAAGCCUCUUUUCACCAUUAGGGUAUUUUGCACAUCCCUUCACAGGUUGUAGCUAAAAGAAUAAAAGUUAGAUUGAAAUAUUAAAUAACCUGGCUAGCCAGAGACAUUUUGCCAGAUGCUGGCACUUGUGUCCUAGAUAAUGAAAAGACCACUACAAUAAUGAGAAGCAAUGUUGGAUUUAAAAAAAAAAAAAAAAAAAAAAAA
rnacentral:lncRNA from 1 species